rnacentral:tRNA from 1 species
ACCCAUAGUGUAUCGGCAGCACGACAGAUUUUGAUUCUGUAAGUCCGGGUUCGAUUCCUGGUGGGUCUG